ACCAAUGAUAUAAUGUAAGGCCAGAGUUACUAUUUCAGGCAAGAUAUAAAGGUUUCGAUUCAGGGAAGACUGGACUUGAUCCUUUUGUAAUGCAAAAUGGCAAUAAUAUUGAUGCAGCACUAGGUAAAAAGGACUUCUCAAAUUCUGCAGUAAGGGACUGGCAAAGGUGUACAACGGAAGCUAAAAUGGCUAGAAACAAUAGCAGAGGACAGAGAACUAUCAGCCAAUUAGUGCUUCUAGAGAGAAAUGAAUGCCUCAGUACAUCCCCUCAGUUUCUCCAUCAUAAAGAAAGCUAAAGACUGUAGUACAGAAAACUGGACUAAACAAAAUGAUCUUCCUUCAUCAAAGAAACUGUCAAUCCCAUUUCUCAGCAGCCUUGGCAUCAAAUCUAUGAAAUUUUGGAGACCUUUAGCACUGAAGCUUUGGAAGCAAAAAACCAGAAAUAACAAAAAGAGGGUGGAUUAGAGGAACUGUCAUAGAUAUAUUGUGGAAGGCAGGAGUUUAAUAAAAUCCAAAGCUCUUUUGAUCGUCCAACACCAUUAUCUUUGCAUCAUCAAACAUAAUUUCUCCUGCAUUAGUUUCACUGGAAAGAAAAUAAUCAAAAGUAAAGAAGUGUAUUAUCCCCUAACCCCCAAAUCCUGUGCUCUCCAUGGGAGUAAAAUUCUUCUAAUGUUCUUGAUAUUAUUAGUAGGAUUAUGCUUUUACUUUUGUUAAUUGUUAAGUAUGUCAUGAAGUUAGGCUGCAGAUCACUCAUGAGAAGCUAUAGCCCUCUGAGUCCAGAUUGAACUGAAUUUUGUUGCAAUUUUAUUGUGAUUGUAUACAUUUGUAAAUAUGGUUAUGGUAUUAUUUUGAUGUAAGCCGAGUCACCUUGCAGUGAGAUGGAUGGCAAACAAAUUUAAAUAAAUAAAUACAUAAGUAAAUUCCAGAUAUUGCUCGGACAUCAGGUUGAAUUCCAGAUAUGCAAAGUCAAUAAUGAAUUCUGAGAAAUAUCUUUAUAAUUCCCAGUAUUUUUCAAUGGAACCAUAAAAGUAUGUAGCAAAAUUGGGAUGCUGGAUAUAUUACAAGCUAUAUUUCCCAUGGUUCCUAGAAACUUUGGACUACACACCUUUUUGCAGGCCAUAGAAAUCAACUGAUACACUACUGCCAUAAUCCAUACCAUUAUCUCUAUACGAGGGAGAUUAUCACUUCAUCAUUUUGGCACACGGUAGUUGCCUGAUCCUUUCUAUAGGCAUGUUUUAAAGUACUUAGCUGAAUAUUUCAGGGCAUACAAAUCAAUAUUCUUUCAUAUCUUUUUCUGUCAAUGGGGAGAACAUCACUAGUAGCAGCUGAUAUUCGGUGACAGUGACAGAUGGUAUGUUUCAUUAUCUUAUAAACAAACAUGUAUACAAAACCCACAGUUGUUUCUAGUAGUUACAUAGAUGAAAUUACAAACAGUAAGAAAAACUAAUAAGAGACUGCAUUUUUUUUCUCUUCUACUUUUCAAAAUUAGUUUCUGCUUACACCCAAACUGAGGUUUCAUCUUUAAUUCAUCUUGCUUUUUAAAAACAUGUGCACGUAGCCUUGGCUUGGGUGAUUCUGUAGAGCAGGGGCGUCAAACUGCCGGCCCAUGGGCCAGAUGCGUCACUGGGAAACUGUGCCCACCCCAUUGCCAGCAAUGGGGAAAAAGCUCCGAUACAUUGCACGACGUCACAUGAUGUCGCAAGUUUGACAUGUCUGCUGUAGAGUGACCAACAUAUGGGGUUGAGGGGCAGAUUUAAUCUUGUGUGACACAUGCAAGAAAAAUAGGUGGUCUAAAGGAGGAAUGCCUGGGGCUAGAUCCCAAAAUACCCUUAUAAACUAAAAAUAAUAAAUGGAUGUAUAAAUAAACAAAAUAAGUAUACUGCCUUUUACAAUAGUCAGAUAAAUGCUAACAAAAAAACUUUGGCAAACAAGAUUACACUCUCUCCACUCUAGCAUCCUUGCUUAAUGGCUACUUAAUAUAUCCAUCCUUAUUAUUUUCUAGGGCAGCAUUUCUCAUUCUCAGAAACUUUAAGGUGAGUCAACUUCCCAGAAUUCCCCAGCCAGCAUAUAAUCUAUCCCAUUGUCCAACAACUCAUGCCAUUACAAAGUUGGCAUCAACUUUCCUAUCAUUGCCACUUAUUGGUUCUAUUCUUGUCCUCUGCAGUAGCACAACAAAUUUGCUCUCCAGGUUUACUAAUAAUGUAUUACUUGAUGUUUCAAUAAAAAUAAAUAUAUUUUGCUCUCUCUAUCCUGUGCAUUACCUUCCAUAAAUCAGUUGUGAAUUUGCCUUGACAAUAGCCAGGGAGACUGUCAGCAUAUAGAGAAGGUUUGUCUUUUCUCUUUUUUCCUCUCUCUUAAGGUCAGCCUAGAUUCUCUCCUCUAGUAUGCCUAAUCUUGUUAUUUCACUGAACAAUGGAAAAAACCCUGAACAUUUAAACACAUAUUGUUCUCAGCAAAACAUAAUGUUCAACUACUUUGGUUGCCUUAGCAACUUCCACCUCUAAAAAUACAAAGGACAUUAUCUACAAAAUAAAUGAUUGUAUAAUAAAGAGAAUCUGUGGGAGAAAAUGCUUCCUUGGUUUUAACCUAGAGCCUACACUUCAGUAAAAUUACUGACUUGGAACAAUAUACUCGCAUGGCUA